rnacentral:lncRNA from 1 species
GUGCUCAUCUCUUUUUCAGGUCUGUUAAGCUUCACUUCAUUGAGAAUUUCACCUCCAUAAUCACCCAAAUGGUAUCUUUUCUCUACAACUUCCAAUGUUAAAUGCAAUAACUCGCGUUUUGUCUUCUCUCUCCUCUUAAUCAUCUCCAGAAUCGUUAUGGCUCUGCUAAACUCUCUUCUUAAUUUCAACAUCUUCUCAUAAGACGCUUCAUCAUUCUUUCGAUUCUUUCUUGUCUGCAUCUUCUCAGUUCUCCUCCGAAAGGCAACAUA